rnacentral:rRNA from 1 species
UACAGAGGUCUCAAGCGUUGUUCGGAUUCAUUGGGCGUAAAGGGUGUGUAGGUGGCGCCGUAAGUUUGCUGUGAAAUCUCCCGGCUUAACCGGGAGGGUGCGGUGAAUACUGAGGGACUAGAGUACGGGAGAGGAAAGUGGAAUUCCUGGUGUAGCGGUGAAAUGCGUAGAUAUCAGGAGGAACACCGGUGGUGUAGACGGCUUUCUGGACCGACACUGACGCUGAGACACGAAAGCGUGGGUAGCAAACAGG